CUGGCAAUGGGAAACUCCACUGUCGUGAACCAGAGAGCCUGAAAAAGACAGGACUCAUUUUCUCCCAGGGGAUCGGGCAAUAAAGGAAAGCUCACAGGAUCCUCUAGGAGUAGUCAGAUGGGAAUCCCAGUUCAGAAGAAGAAGCCAGUCUACCUUAGCGUUCCAUUAUCUACAGAGGGAGCUCAGCAUCAGCAGUAUUGUCUACCAUACGAAUCCUAUUCCACACAGGGAAGGAGUGAUCCCCAAGAAUCAAAUGCAAUACCUCACAUGUGGUGCAGCAAAGGGAAAAUCCAGUCCUGUUGGACCCCAUAUACGAUCCCCGAGAGGCAACUAGGCAACAAUCAUCCUACAGAGGACCUCCAAGGAGGUUCAGUGGUUUUCCCAGCAUCACACAGGCAUAAGCA